ensembl:lncRNA
UUUGUUGUUAAGCAGUGCGCCAGUGGUUGAGACAUUGAAACUUUUUUAGACUGUCCACAGGACUUUACAGUGGGAUAAGUUCUGUUAAGCUUUGUUAAUUCAUUGUGACACUUACUCAUUGCCGAUAUCAUCAGCACAAUUGCCAGGCAGAUCUCCCACUGGGGAGAAGUCUCUUCCUUCCUAAUAUAGCUGCUGCAGGGGUAGAAGAUCUGGCCGACCAGUUUACAUCUACAUACGAGACAUGCAGAGAAACAGUUGCAAAAUGUCUAUCUUCCCUCAACAAGUGAGAAGAGGAGCUCUAAGCAUUAAAGAGUUUUGCAGGAGGAAGAACUCUUGGUGAUCCAAAAUUGCUGGAUAAAGCCCUUUGGACUCUCUUCUAACUCACAAACUCAUGAGAAAGAUCCAAUCUGUACCCUACCUGCCUGCGUGCUGGCUCUUUUCCUGUGGCCUCAAGAGGUUUUGCAGAUACUGAGGCUGCAAUCAGUCACUUACAAAGAAAGCACAGUCUCAGGCAUGAGCCAGAUUCCCAGAGAAGGCAACAUCCUUCAAGGCCUGUAUUAUCACAGGAAGCAACCAUCAACAUUGUCCAGAGAUUUCGAUAAAAAGCCCAUGCUUCUGCACAAAGAUUGUCUCAUGAAUCAGAGGAUCAUGUCCUUUGCAUGUAUGAUAUGGUUCUUAGAACAGUUAUAUAGUUCAUUGGCUCCUAUAAAAUGCUGAGUCUGCAAGAGACACUGUCAAGUUCCAGUUACUUUUAUAGUCUGAGAUGGGGGUUUCCACUGAGAGAGUAUACGAAGAUGAAAGAGGAAGAAUUGCUAUGGGAAGAGGUUUUAUUAAAAAUACAGCUGAAGGUUUUUUCAUCAUAUCUUUGAGUAAACAUUAGUGGGAUAGUGACAGAAGAUGUGUCACUGGAUUUAUUUACUGUAAGACAGUUCUGCCGAGUAAAGUACCAUAUGAAAGCAGCAUGUGUUUUUUUAAUAUAAUGUAAAGAGUAACUUAUUACAGUGACUUUAUUUUCUUCUUGUUUGAUGGAUUGUUGCCAUUUAUUACCACCGAGUAAUGAAACCUAUACUGUGUUUUACACGACAGUAGAAUGUCUUGGGCAGCAUUAAUCAGCCUCACGAAGUGUUCAAGAGAAAUAAUGAAAGAAAGAACUGGCAUGCAAGGCAAGUGCCUUCCAGUUUGUCUCCUGCAACCUUCCUUCCUCUGAAACAUUCAUCAUCUUCCUCUUAGUUUGCCAGGAUCUAAAAUCAGGCAGAUAUUUUCUUAUUAAUAUUGAGGCAGGGCACUGAGAGCUGCCAUCACAUCUUUCUUUAGCUGAGAGAAAAUUACCUCAGCUUAAGCUCAACUACCUCCUGCUAUUUGUAAGUCUAGGGCUUCACAAGCUGCGUUACUUGGCUUGUAUGCUAUGUGCACCUUGAUGAUUCUCCAUGUUUUAUCAUAACUGAUUGUAUACAUAUUCUUAAAGCACGAGAGAGUCUGCAGGCUGGGAUAGAAUCUCAGUCCCAAAUGGAUCAGAAUCUAGGAGGUAAGAGGUGUGCUAUUGUAUCUAAAGGGAUAAGAGACAGCCAAGAAAUACAAGAUACAAAAACAAGGCUACCAAGGAGCUGAGUUCAUGGAGCAAUGAAUGUAUUUACUGAGGACUUCACAUCCUUUUGGAUAGAAUAUCCGGGGACUGGUUGUCAGCAUACAAGAUGAAUCAAAAUGUGAAUCCUUUCAAGAGUUUGCAUAGAAACCAUGGAAUCUAAUGAGUCAGAAAUAGAGAUGCUCAAGGCACUCGAUUUUGUACUGUCAGAUCUUUUCUUUCUCAGAACUCUCAAGAGUUUUUGUUAUCUAUCAGUUCAACAUAAGGAACGUUUUUACUGCUAAGGAACAGGUAAAGCAAUUUGCUGGCAGAGGCUUUGCCUCUUGUUCUGUCCAGAUAAUGCCAGGGCAUAGAUCACUCUGAGCAAUUACAAUCAUCAGUAACAGAAUUUAGAAAUCACACUUUUGCUGUUAAACACUUGCCAUUACAUUAUAUGACUUCUACAAUGCAGAUCUUUCAUUUGGUACAACAUCAACAUCUUCCUCCUUAGCUAUGACUCCUGCCCUUUCCUCGUCAGUCUGGUUCACCAAAUUGCUAGUUGAUGAACAAAUACUCUGUGCAUGACAACAGAAGGUUAUGCCUUACUGUGUGUUCAUUACAGCCCUUAACCAGUAGCUGAAAGCGUAGUAAAAAAGAUAUCAAGAAAUUUUGUUUUCUGACGGACAUUUUUAUUUUGAUGGGGGGUG